AUGUAGCUUCUUCAGAUGAGGUUUUUGGUUUUUUGAUUUUUGAUUUUGGGUGGAUUUAGGUAUAGACAUGGAGAUUUAUACAGAAGAAUGAUUAAGAGGAGGAGGAACGACACAUUCAAGAAGACUUUUAAGAUUAUCUUUGAUUGUUUAAAGGGUAACGAAUGAACUCAGGGAUCGGAGAAGAGAAGAGGAAAUGGAAGAAUGGAAAAAGAGAAUUGUAAAACUUAAACACCUUUGGGCCGAAUAUAAUUUUACGUAGCCCACACAAAAUGUCCAUUCUAUCUCAGCGCUUGUGACGUGGCAACAAAAUGUUUUUCUAUUGGACGAUUUUCCUGUCCGACGUGGACACUCUAAAAAGCCUCCCUCAAGCCCUUUUAAUAUAGUAUAGAUACUAAUUAAAAGUUUAAAACCCAUAUUCUUUAUAACCCGCACAGCCAGACAAACUAAUAACAACAAUAAAAAGAUACAAACAUCAAUGAUUCAGUUCCAUCUUAUAUCACUUCAAAAUACAAGCUAGAGUCGAAGAGUUUUGAUGGCAUUUAUACAUUUUUAAAAAAUGAAAAUUACAGUAUUGCAUUUAACAUUUCAUAAGAAAAUUAACAAUAAUAAUUAUUCUAAUCUAUUAAAAGAGAAAUACAAAUUAAGACUAACUCUUAAACUUGCACAAUAUAUACAGCUUAGUGCCACUGAAAUAAUUAAUCUAAUUUAUUAAAAGAGAAGUACAAAUUAAGAUUAACCCUUAAACUUGCACAAUAUUUACAGUUUAAUCCCACUGAAAUAAUUAAAUGAAUAUAUUUUUGAGUAAUCUUUGUCUUUUCCAAAAUCAAAAUUAAUAAAGUAAUAACUACUCCUAAUUUUAUAAUUAUAUGCUUUCCAUGUCUUUUUUAAAAUUAAUAAAACAUUUCCUAAAUUAAAUUCACAAUCAAUUCAAUAUAAAUAUUUUAACUUAUCUAUGUCAUAUUAAUAUUAUAAACAUUAAUGAAUAUCAAUAAUAUAUACAAAAUAUUAUUUUAUGUAACAAUAUAAGUUGCAUUUUGUCUCAUUUUCCCACA
rnacentral:lncRNA from 1 species